GGUUUCUUAUCCGGACCGGCGUUUGGUUUUGGUCCCAAGCCGGGAGGUUUCAUUCCGUUCUUGUCUCCUGAAGAGGGGCACCCUAUUCCACUCGCUCCCUCCACUGAAGUUGUCAAAAGAUGACUUGAAUCUUCACUGCAUAUUUUUCAGCAACCUGUUCGUUCCUAACCUUGAGUUCAAUGCCCACUAUCACUUAUGACACUAAAGCGAUUAGCACCCGUGCGAGAGUCGCCCCGAAAUAAAGAAGAAAUGAGGUAAACUCGACCGAAGGCUAUGUUGAUGGAUAAGGGUCUGUUCGAAGUUUCAAGGGGGUGGAUUGUCACGUUUCUGUCGCCCUCAGGUAGCAUGAAGGUGGAUUGGCACGGCGGUCAAGAUGCGUGAGGGAGGCACUAUCAUUUCUUCGCAUCACCUGUCCGAUUCGGACAUGCAUUGCGCAACAAGAUAUUCGCAACAUUUAAUAUAACAUCACACGCGGGUCACCAAGCACCACCUGGAAAUCGCAUUCCCUUUGUCUUUUCGUAUCGAGUAAAAGUUGUUAGUCUCUUUAGCAAGAGCUAGCUAGAGUCAUGCUCGUAACUCUAUCGCUAGUAUAUGUUACAG
rnacentral:lncRNA from 1 species